rnacentral:rRNA from 1 species
GAUGAACGCUGGCGGCGUGCUUAACACAUGCAAGUCGAGCGAAGCGAUUUUAAGGAAGUUUUCGGAUGGAAUUAAAAUUGACUUAGCGGCGGACGGGUGAGUAACGCGUGGGUAACCUGCCUCAUACAGGGGGAUAACAGUUAGAAAUGACUGCUAAUACCGCAUAAGCGCACAGUACUGCAUGGUACAGUGUGAAAAACUCCGGUGGUAUGAGAUGGACCCGCGUCUGAUUAGGUAGUUGGUGAGGUAAUGGCUCACCAAGCCGACGAUCAGGAACCGGGCUGAGAGGGUGACCGGCCACAUUGGGACUGAGACACGGCCCAAACUCCUACGGGAGGCAGCAGUGGGGAAUAUUGGACAAUGGGGGAAACCCUGAUCCAGCGACGCCGCGUGAGUGAAGAAGUAUUUCGGUAUGUAAAGCUCUAUCAGCAGGGAAGAAAAUGACGGUACCUGACUAAGAAGCCCCGGCUAACUACGUGCCAGCAGCCGCAGUAACAC